rnacentral:lncRNA from 1 species
UAUAUUUUGCUUAGUGUGUUUAAUAAAUAAAUAAAGUGGCUAUGCUAAAUUGAAUCUUAAUAAUAAAACUCUAGCAUGGAUAUGAUGAAUAGUUGCUCUGCCUAAUUUUUAAAAUUUGAGUUCUCUCAAGUUUAGACAUAACUGUUAUAAUUUAAAGCUUGCUCUAAAUCUGAACCUCUGGGAAGAAAACUUGAUCUAAAGUUUAAGUUGUUAACGGACAUGAUAUGGGAAGGAUGAGCUGCUGUUUAUCUGUUCCUAGAGAUGCUAGAAUUCUGGAGAAUUUUUAUCUUUUAAAAUCUUUAAAAUAUUGCAAGAUGAGUUCCUGUAUGAUGAGAAUUUAAAUUCCUACCACAGCCAUAUAUACAUGCUUGCUAGACUUUGAGCCACACAUUUACUAUUUACUACUUAUGAGCAUUGAGUGUGGUCAAGCUGUGUAGACCCUUAGGGGCUUGUCAUGUGGUUAAAUCAGGAUUCACUUGCAUGUUCACUCAUACAUGCUACUUCUACUCCGGAAGUACCAUCCACAUAUAUCCACCCAUUUCCAUCUCUACAACCACCCAAAAUUAUUCUACUCCUAAUCCGGGAGAGAAUAGCCAAAAACAUUUCUGUUUUUCCCUGUGAAAUAAAUGCUCAAGUUAUCUUGGUUACUACCACUUGCUAUAUUAUCUCAUGAGAUGAGUGCUCUAAAAAAGGAAAAAAAGAGAUACGAGGAAAUAAAAAGGGGCAAGUGCCCGGAACCUCGAAAGAAAAGAAAAAGUGAGACGAGAGGUAAAAAUGGACAAGUGUCCGAAAUUAGGGGUACAAAAUACCCACCUGCGAGAAAAGAAAAGAUAGAGCAUCUCAUUCUCCUCAAAAAGUUUCAAAGAGCAAGAAAGGUAUGUAUCCCCUCAAAAGAGCAAAAGUAGAAUUAGACUAUCACCAUCAUCACCAUACACCAUUCAUUCGCCACACAUGCACAUCUUGAUUUGACUUAUUGACUUGUUUCUUUGGAUCCAUGGUUUGACUAUGCAAUAAAUGUCUUGUAAGUAUGUAUAUUUUUAUCUCCCACCUAUGAGCUCCAGAUAUCAAAAGCCUUAUUAGAGUAGGGUGAGAGAGAAGGCAAUGUCACUAUGCUUUAUACCACAAAUACUAUAUUUUGAGAGAAGGCAUAUACCAUCACUGCCUUGG